rnacentral:rRNA from 1 species
UGCCAGCAGCCGCGGUAAUACGGAGGGAGCUAGCGUUGUUCGGAAUUACUGGGCGUAAAGGGCGCGUAGGCGGUUAAUAGAGUCAGACGUGAAAUUCCUGGGCUUAACCUGGGGCGGUCGUUUGAGACCUAUUGACUAGAGAUUGAGAGGGGAAAGCGGAAUUCCUAGUGUAGAGGUGAAAUUCGUAGAUAUUAGGAGGACCACCGGUGGCGAAAGCGGCUUUCUAUCUUAAAUCUGACGCUAAGGCGCGAGAGCGUGGGGAGCAAACAGGAUUAGAUA